ACGAACGCUGGCGGCGUGCCUAAUACAUGCAAGUCGAACGCUUCUUUCCUCCCGAGUGCUUGCACUCAAUUGGAAAGAGGAGUGGCGGACGGGUGAGUAACACGUGGGUAACCUACCCAUCAGAGGGGGAUAACACUUGGAAACAGGUGCUAAUACCGCAUAACAGUUUAUGCCGCAUGGCAUAACAUUUAAAGGAGCUUUUGGGUGUCGCUGAUGGAUGGACACGCGGUGCUUUCCAUUCUUGGUACGUGAACGGCUCACCAAGGCUACGAUGCAGACCCCACGUGAGAGGGGGAUCGGCCACACUGGGACGGAGACCCGGUCCUUCCUCCUACGGGUCGCUGCAGUGGGGAAUUUUCCUGUAGGGACGGAUGUUAGACCGAGCAACGCCUGUUGAGUUAAGUCCUUUUCUUCAUCGGAUA
rnacentral:rRNA from 1 species